UAACUGUGCGCUUGUUGAUGGCUAAGAG
rnacentral:sRNA from 1 species